CUGGAGUCUUUGCAGCACUUUGUUUCUCUGUUGCUGUCUUAUGAUAUUGUUUGUAGCAAAUUGCUGAACUCAGCUGGUUAUUUCUCCAUCGUGAUUAUCCAUCCAAUCCUCUAUCAACAGCUUCAGGUUUACUCAGAACUUGUUUCAAUUAGUUUAGGCAACUUGAAUUUGAUUAGAUUCUUGGUAUGAACUUUUUUUUGCUGUCGUGUUCUUAAUAUUGUUUUCUUAGCAAAGUAAGGCUUGCAAUUUUGAUCAAUUUGGUGUCUCUCUCUGCUAAGGUACCUGAGGCUAAGUAUUAUUGGCAGAAAAUAUACUGAGUUUGCAGAAAUAUAUUGAAUGUAUUAUAUGCAACUUUACAGAUGGUUAUGUAAGGUUGGAAUGCUUAUUAAAUUUAUUGUUUACUUAAAAUAUAUGAACUAUCUAUACUUAAAAUUUUAAUAUUAUACUCUAAGCAUCCACAAUGCAAUACUAAGUUUUAUACUAAAUUUAACACUUAAAAAUUGUAAACUGUUAUGCUUAGUGUAAAAUUGUAAAUUUAUUUUCAAUGCAAAAUGCUAAAAAGGUAGUAUAAUUAAUUACUAUUGUAAUUUUUUAUUAAUUAUUAUGCUGAUUUUUUAUUACUUUCAUCUAUCAUUUGGAACUAUUUAAAUAGAAAAUAUUUUAAUUUUUUAAUUAAGGUUUUUUUUCUUACUGUUACUUUUCUGGGUUCUGCUUUUUUUUUGUCUUAAUUGUUUUGACCAAAAUGAUUGAAAGAUAUAAUCACAUUUGUGAUCGAAGGUUCUUUUAGUGGAGAAUAAUUAGUUUAGGUAUAGUAUUGCUCAUUUCUUUGAAUUGCAUUAUAAUUCAUAAUCGACUCUGUAAUGUAAUUUUUGUUUGCAUGUGUUCUCGAUGAUUGGAAACGGUUUUUGGAGGCGAGUUAAUACUUUUUUUAAUUAAGUCUGCUAAGAAAAUGAUGUAAUUGAAAGAAGGAAGCAUGUUUGUUGUCCAGAAAACAGUAUAAAUAAAUAAAAAGCAUAAAGCUCAGCUGCUUGUCGGAAAAAGCAAAUGACUCAAAUUGUGAAAGCUUUAUAUUAGCGACUCAUAAUUUUUUUUCUCGCAAUGUUUACUCUUUUUAGAACUUCUUUCCAUGUGACCUAAACAAUUAUUGAAUUCCUUUUAUAACCCCAUUUGGGGGUGGAGUAAAUAUGAAGUUAUAGGGUCGAACAGUUGGGGUCACUCUCAGUGGUUGGACCGCUGGCGCUCGGAGGAGUCGGAGAUUAGGUAAGCAAAUUUAGGAGGAGGUGGGAGAGAAGUGGUUGGAAUUAGAUGAAGUUUGGUUUUGACAAAUCGAGAACUGAAUGAAGAAAAAGAACAAUAUAGUGGGAGUGAAGAAGAACCAUCUGACAAGGAAGAAGAAAGGGUAGUUAAAAACAGUGAGAUAAUGAACUAAAGACCCGAUUGCUAGUGUGAAGAUCCAUUUGCGUUCCAUGGAUUGAUGAUUAUGGCAUAUGUGCAGAAAUAAAUAUAUUUGGUGAUGAUGGGUAGAUUACAGGAGAGAUUUUGUGGGUUUAUUAAAAAUAGAUGGCUGGUUUUUAUAGCUGCAAUGUGGAUACACUCUUGUGCAGGGAUUGGGUAUUUAUUUCGUAGUAUAUCUCACCUGUUAUAAAGAGUUCUUUGAAUUGUAAUUAAAGGCAGCUUGCUAGUUUAGGUGUUGCUAAGAAUCUUGGUGACAGUGUUGGAUUCUUGGCUGACAGUUUGUCUGAAUUCCUGCUUUUAUGGGGUGCUUUGUUACUGGUAGAGCUCUUGUUUUACCUUUGUGGGCUAUGAGAAUGUAUUAUCUUUAAUCUUUUGAUUCUUGUUAUGGUUUGAAGUAACUGAUCAUUGGAUUGGUUUA